AAUGUUUCAUUCAUUAAACUUCGCGAGAACAUGGGAGGAGCAGUAGAGCAGCACAGGACGUAGAUGUACGGUAGCCGGCCGGCGCCCAUGGAUUCAAGCUCACAGCCCGCCGCAAUUGAUGGAUCGAGAGGGAGCGGAGGAGGAGAGAGAAACAAAAGGGAGGAGGAGGACGACGACGAGGCGGCGGCGGAGGCCGGCAACGGCAGACAGCUGGUGAUGCCCGAGGACGGGUACGAGUGGAAGAAGUACGGCCAGAAGUUCAUCAAGAACAUCCAGAAAAUGAGGAGCUACUUCCGGUGCCGGCACAGGCUGUGCGGCGCCAAGAAGAAGGUGGAGUGGCACCCGCGCGACCCCGGCGGCGACCUCCGCAUCGUCUACGACGGCGCGCACCAGCACGGGCCCCCGCCGCUGGCGGCUCCUCCCGGCGGCCACGGCCAGAUGCAGGGCGGCGGCGCCUCCGACUCCAACAGAUACGAGCUGUGCACCCAGUACUUCGGCGGGGCCCGGUCGCGCUGACGACCUGGCGGGCCAGCUAGCUAGCGUCGGGGGUGGCAUGGCAGCUGACAAGAAAGGCCGGCCGGCGGGCGGCGGCGUGGCGUCCCGUCGCGUCACGCUCACGCCCGCAUCACCUCCUGCCCCUGCUGGCUGCUGGCCUGCUGCAGCACCGAUCGCUUUCGCUGCGCACCGGAGGGCAGCGGCAGCGGCAGCGGCUGGCUGGUGCUGCCGGUGGCGGUUGACUUGACGCCUUGCGCCGGCGCAACCGACGUGAUGUUGAGUGCGGAUUAAUUGGUGCUGCACCGGUCAACGCUGUGGUCUACUACUAGUGUACUACACUAUUACGACGACGAUUGAAAAGCACCAGUGAGUACCGAGGCACUCCUUCCAGAAUUAUAUAAUUCAGCUUAUAGAUAUAAGCAUCUAAUGACCUGCUUAUAAAUUAUCAUAAUCUAGAUAUCUAGAUUAUAUUAUUUGUUUGUCACAUCCGCUAAUGCCUACCGACAGUUGAUCGGUGCAACUGAUGGAUAUGGACAACCUAACAAGUUGGCAACACUAAGGCUUGUUCAGUUAUUACUAUCCCAUGUAGAUUUGAUAUGAUCAAAAAAAUCAUAAAAGAUGUUAACUUAUUUAGGAAUCAAACUCAUCAAUCUCACCUAAUCCAUAUGAAUCGGGACCAAAACGAAUAAGCCCUAACAAUGAUUUCAACAGUACGUAGAAUUCAAUUUAUUCACCGUAGCAUGCAACAUCGAUCGAAAAAAUUAAAAACCUUAAGUGCAGGAACAUUUGGAGACA